UUGCAAUGACACGACAUCUGACGACAGCUUUGUGUGAUUAUUUGUUUUUUUCGUAGAAUACGCACAGUUUCUCUUUCCGAAAGUAAUUUCCUAAAAACUAAAGCGUAAAGAAAAUGCAAAUUUUGUUUGUUUUUGUUUUUCUAAUUUUUGUUUCAACAACAACUGGACAAAAUUUUCAGCUGUUACAAAGAAUAGAAUCAAAGGUAGACCGUAACACUAAAUUUCUACGAGAACUACUCCGCCGACACCCAAAAGAAAUCCCUUUAAGGGAAGUUGCGUACGGAAAGUCAUGCAGACAAAGUUCAACCGGUUGGGGAGAAUAUGCUUCAAAGGCUGUUGAUGGUGAUUUGAAUACAUAUAUGCACACUUACAAAGAUCAAUCACCUUAUUGGAUUGUUGACCUAGGAAAACCAUACCAGAUAAAGCGGAUCGAAAUAUUCAACAGAAAGCAUGGCGACAUAGCCACAGGACGACGUCUGAAAGACCUGGACAUUAUUGUUGGUACUUCUUCAAAUAACAUGCAUCAAUGUACCCAUUAUGACGGACCGGCUCAACUCGGAUCUCAUCUUGUUCUUGUAUGUCGAUAUGACGAAACGGCACGUUUUGUGAAAUUGAGGCUACGAGGAAGAGAGUAUUUACAUGUGGCGGAAGUCAAAGUGUAUGCACUAUAUUAAAACUGGCUUAAUAAAUUAUACAUUAGGAUUUUA